rnacentral:rRNA from 1 species
GACGAACGCUGGCGGCGUGCCUAAUACAUGCAAGUCGAGCGAAUGGAUUAAGAGCUUGCUCUUAUGAAGUUAGCGGCGGACGGGUGAGUAACACGUGGGUAACCUGCCCAUAAGACUGGGAUAACUCCGGGAAACCGGGGCUAAUACCGGAUAACAUUUUGAACCGCAUGGUUCGAAAUUGAAAGGCGGCUUCGGCUGUCACUUAUGGAUGGACCCGCGUCGCAUUAGCUAGUUGGUGAGGUAACGGCUCACCAAGGCAACGAUGCGUAGCCGACCUGGGAGGGUGAUCGGCCAAACUGGGACUGAGACACGGCCCAGACUCCUGCGGGAGGCAGCAGUAGGGUAUCUUCCGCAAUGGACGAAAGUCUGACGGAGCAACGCCGCGUGAGUGAUGAAGGCUUUCGGGUCGUAAAACUCUGUUGUUAGGGAAGAACAAGUGCUAGUUGAAUAAGCUGGCACCUUGACGGUACCUAACCAGAAAGCCACGGCUAACUACGUGCCAGCAGCCGCAGUAA